rnacentral:rRNA from 1 species
CGGGGAAUGAGUACAGUGGCGAACGGGUGAGUAACGCGUGGGAAACCUGCCCUUUUGUGGGGGAUAACAGUUCUAACGAGCUGCUAAUACCGCAUAAGACCUCUGGAACGCAUGUUCCGGAGAUGAAAAGGAGGCCUCUCUUUAGAAGCUACCGCAGAAGGAUGGUCCCGCGUCCCAUUAGCUAGUUGGUGGGGUAAAGGCCUACCAAGGCGACGAUGGGUAGCCGGCCUGAGAGGGUGUCCGGCCACACUGGGACUGAGAUACGGCCCAGACUCCUACGGGAGGCAGCAGUCGAGAAGCUUCCGCAAUGGGGGAAACCCUGACGGAGCGACGCCGCGUGAGUGAAGAAGGUCCUUUGGAUUGUAAAGCUCUGUCAGAUUGGGAAGAAAAUCCUAUGGUUAAUACCCAUAGGACUUGACGGUACCAUCAGAGGAAGCACCGGCUAACUCCGUGCCAGCAGUUGCGGUAAUACGGAGGGUGCAAGCGUUGUUCGGAUUCACUGGGUAUAAAGGGUGCGCAGGCGGCCUGGUAAGUCAGAGGUGAAAUAUGACGGCUCAACCGUCAAACGGCCCCUGAAACUGUCAGGCUUGAGUUCGGGAGAGGAAGGUGGAAUUCCUGGUGUAGCGGUGAAAUGCGUAAAUAUCAGGAAGAACACCGGUGGCGAAGGCGGCCUUCUGGCCCGAUACUGACGCUCAGGCACGAAAGCAUGGGGAGCGAACGGGAUUAGAUACCCCGGUAGUCCAUGCCGUAAACGAUGGAUACUAGGUGUUGGAGGGGUCUACCCCUUCAGUGCCGCAGCUAACGCAUUAAGUAUCCCACCUGGGGAGUACGAUCGCAAGGUUGAAACUCAAAGGAAUUGACGGGGGCCCGCACAAGCGGUGGAGCAUGUGGUUUAAUUCGAUGCAACGCGAAGAACCUUACCUGGGCUUGACAUGCAGGGGACAGAUGUAGAAAUACAUCCUUCUUCGGACUCCUGUACAGGUGCUGCAUGGCUGUCGUCAGCUCGUGUCGUGAAAUGUUGGGUUAAGUCCCGCAACGAGCGCAACCCCUGUCUUCAGUUGCCAUCAGGUUAUGCUGGGGACUCUGGAGAGACUGCCGGUGAUAAACCGGAGGAAGGUGGGGACGACGUCAAGUCAUCAUGGCCCUUACGCCCAGGGCUACACACGUGCUACAAUGGUCGGUACAAAGGGCCGAUACAGUGAUGUGGAGCGAAUCCCAAAAAGCCGGCCUCAGUUCGGAUCGUAGUCUGCAACUCGACUACGUGAAGUUGGAAUCGCUAGUAAUCGCGUAUCAGAACGACGCGGUGAAUACGUUCCCGGGCCUUGUACACACCGCCCGUCAAGUCAACCGAGUUGGCUGCACCCCAAGUCGCUGAGCUAACCUCUUUGGAGGAGGCAAGUGCCCAAGGUGUGGUUGGCGAGGGGGACUAAGUCGAAACAAGGUA